rnacentral:rRNA from 1 species
UACAGAGGUCCCGAGCGUUGUUCGGAUUCACUGGGCGUAAAGGGUGCGUAGGUGGUGUCGCAAGUUUGACGUGAAAUCUCCGGGCUUAACCCGGAAACUGCGUUGAAAACUGCGGCGCUGGAGGGUUGGAGGGGGGACUGGAAUUCUCGGUGUAGCAGUGAAAUGCGUAGAUAUCGAGAGGAACACCAGUGGCGAAGGCG